GACGAACGCUGGCGGCGUGCUUAACACAUGCAAGUCGAGCGGAAAGGCCACUUCGGUGGUACUCGAGCGGCGAACGGGUGAGUAACACGUGAGUAAUCUGCCCCUGGCUUUGGGAUAGCCACCGGAAACGGUGAUUAAUACCGGAUAUGACCACUUCUCGCAUGGGUUGUGGUGGAAAGUUUUUCGGCCAGGGAUGUGCUCGCGGCCUAUCAGCUUGAUGGUGAGGUAAUGGCUCACCAUGGAUUCGACGGGUAGCCGGCCUGAGAGGGUGACCGGUAACACUGGGACUGAGACACGGCCCAGACUCCUACGGGAGGCAGCAGUGGGGAAUAUUGGACAAUGGGCGGAAGCCUGAUCCAGCAACGCCGCGUGAGGGAUGACGGCCUUCGGGUUGUAAACCUCUUUCAGUACCGACGAAGCGCAAGUGACGGUAGGUACAGAAGAAGCACCGGCCAACUUCGUGCCAGCAGCCGCAGUAACAC
rnacentral:rRNA from 1 species